GUGGGGAAUCUUCCACAAUGGACGAAAGUCUGAUGGAGCAACGCCGCGUGAGUGAAGAAGGGUUUCGGCUCGUAAAGCUCUGUUGUCGGGGACGAAUGUGCAGUAUUUGAAUAAAGUACUGUAAUGACGGUACCUGACGAGGAAGCCACGGCUAACUACGUGCCAGCAGCCGCGGUAAUACGUAGGUGGCAAGCGUUGUCCGGAAUUAUUGGGCGUAAAGGGAGCGCAGGCGGGAAGGUAAGUCGGUCUUAAAAGUGCGGGGCUCAACCCCGUGAUGGGAUCGAAACUAUCUUUCUUGAGUGCAGGAGAGGAAAGUGGAAUUCCUAGUGUAGCGGUGAAAUGCGUAGAUAUUAGGAGGAACACCAGUGGCGAAGGCGACUUUCUGGACGAUGUCUGACGCUGAGGCGCGAAAGCUAGGGGAGCGAACGGGAUUAGAAACCCGGGUAGUCC
rnacentral:rRNA from 1 species